rnacentral:rRNA from 1 species
GACGAACGCUGGCGGCGUGCUUAACACAUGCAAGUCGAACGGAAAGGCCCUGCUUUUGUGGGGUGCUCGAGUGGCGAACGGGUGAGUAACACGUGAGUAACCUGCCCUUGACUUUGGGAUAACUUCAGGAAACUGGGGCUAAUACCGGAUAGGAGCUCCUGCUGCAUGGUGGGGGUUGGAAAGUUUCGGCGGUUGGGGAUGGACUCGCGGCUUAUCAGCUUGUUGGUGGGGUAGUGGCUUACCAAGGCUUUGACGGGUAGCCGGCCUGAGAGGGUGACCGGCCACAUUGGGACUGAGAUACGGCCCAGACUCCUACGGGAGGCAGCAGUGGGGAAUAUUCCACAAUGGGCGGAAGCCUGAUGCAGCAACGCCGCGUGCGGGAUGACGGCCUUCGGGUUGUAAACCGCUUUCGCCUGUGACGAAGCGUGAGUGACGGUAAUGAGUAAAGAAGCACCGGCUAACUACGU